rnacentral:rRNA from 1 species
AUUGAACGCUGGCGGCAGGCUUAACACAUGCAAGUCGAGCGGGGGAGGUUGCUUCGGUAACUGACCUAGCGGCGGACGGGUGAGUAAUGCUUAGGAAUCUGCCUAUUAGUGGGGGACAACAUUCCGAAAGGGAUGCUAAUACCGCAUACGCCCUACGGGGGAAAGCAGGGGAUCUUCGGACCUUGCGCUAAUAGAUGAGCCUAAGUCGGAUUAGCUAGUUGGUGGGGUAAAGGCCUACCAAGGCGACGAUCUGUAGCGGGUCUGAGAGGAUGAUCAGCCACACUGGAACUGAGACACGGUCCAGACUCCUACGGGAGGCAGCAGUGGGGAAUAUUGGACAAUGGGCGCAAGCCUGAUCCAGCCAUGCCGCGUGUGUGAAGAAGGCCUUCGGGUUGUAAAGCACUUUCAGUAGGGAGGAAGGGUGUUGUGUUAAUAGCACAGCAUUUUGACGUUACCUACAGAAGAAGCACCGGCUAACUCUGUGCCAGCAGCCGCCGUAAAAC